rnacentral:rRNA from 1 species
GACGAACGCUGGCGGCGUGCUUAACACAUAGCAAGUCGAGCGGUAAGGCCCUUUCGGGGGUACACGAGCGGCGAACGGGUGAGUAACACGUGGGUGACCUGCCCUCAGCUCUGGGAUAAGCCUGGGAAACCGGGUCUAAUACUGGAUAUGACUCCAUGACGCAUGUUGUGGGGUGGAAAGCCUUGUGCGGCUGAGGAUGGGCCCGCGGCCUAUCAGCUUGUUGGUGGGGUGANGGCCUACCAAGGCGACGACGGGUAGCCGGCCUGAGAGGGCGACCGGCCACACUGGGACUGAGACACGGCCCAGACUCCUACGGGAGGCAGCAGUGGGGAAUCUUGCGCAAUGGGCGAAAGCCUGACGCAGCGACGCCGCGUGAGGGAUGACGGCCU